CCUACGGGAGGCAGCAGUGAGGAAUAUUGGUCAAUGGGCGAGAGCCUGAACCAGCCAAGUCGCGUGAAGGAAGAAGGAUCUAUGGUUCGUAAACUUCUUUUGCAGGGGAAUAAAGUGCAGGACGUGUCCUGUUUUGUAUGUACCCUGAGAAUAAGGAUCGGCUAACUCCGUGCCAGCAGCCGCGGUAAUACGGAGGAUCCGAGCGUUAUCCGGAUUUAUUGGGUUUAAAGGGUGCGUAGGUGGUUUGAUAAGUCAGCGGUGAAAGUUUGCAGCUUAACUGUAAAAAUGCCGUUGAAACUGUCGGACUUGAGUGUAAAUGAGGUAGGCGGAAUGCGUGGUGUAGCGGUGAAAUGCAUAGAUAUCACGCAGAACUCCGAUUGCGAAGGCAGCUUACUAAGCUACAACUGACACUGAAGCACGA
rnacentral:rRNA from 1 species